rnacentral:rRNA from 1 species
AGCAGUAGCCGCGGUAAAACGUAGGGUGCAAGCGUUAAUCGGAAUUACUGGGCGUAAAGCGUGCGCAGGCGGUUUGUUAAGACAGAUGUGAAAUCCCAGGGCUCAACCUGGGAACUGCAGUUGUGACUGGCAAGCUAGAGUGUGGCAGAGGGGGGUGGAAUUCCGCGCGUAGCAGUGAAAUGCGUAGAUAUGCGGAGGAACACCGAUGGCGAAGGCAGCCCGCUGGGCCAACACUGACGCUCAUGCACGAAAGCGUGGGGAGCAAACAGGAUUAGAUACCCGGGUAGUCCCUGUCUCUUAUAC